rnacentral:rRNA from 1 species
UACGGAGGAUGCGAGCGUUAUCCGGAAUUACUGGGUGUAAAGGGAGCGUAGGCGGGAUGGCAAGUUGGGUGUUAAAUCUACCGGCUCAACUGGUAGUCGCACUCAAAACUGCUAUUCUUGAGUGAAGUAGAGGCAGGCGGAAUUCCUAGUGUAGCGGUGAAAUGCGUAGAUAUUAGGAGGAACACCAGUGGCGAAGGCGGCCUGCUGGACGGUGACUGACGCUGAGGCUCGAAAGCGUGGGGAGCAAACAGG